AUUGGUGUUUGGUUCGGCUUGUGUAGGAUAGGUGGGAGACUGUGAAGCGGCCACGCCAGUGGUUGUGGAGUCAACGUUGAAAUACCACUCUGGUCGUACUAGAUGUCUAACCUAGGGCCAUGAUCUGGUUCAGGGACAGUGCCUGAUGGGUAGUUUAACUGGGGCGGUUGCCUCCCAAAAUGUAACGGAGGCGCCCAAAGGUUCCCUCAGCCUGGUUGGCAAUCAGGUAGCGAGUGUAAGUGCACAAGGGAGCUUGACUGUGAGAGAGACAUCUCGAGCAGGGACGAAAGUCGGGACUAGUGAUCCGGCGGUACAUUGUGGAAUGGCCGUCGCUCAACGG
rnacentral:rRNA from 1 species